rnacentral:rRNA from 1 species
GAUGAACGCUGGCGGCGUGCCUAAUACAUGCAAGUCGAGCGAACGGACGAGAAGCUUGCUCCUCUGAUGUUAGCGGCGGACGGGUGAGUAACACGUGGAUAACCUACCUAUAAGACUGGGAUAACUUCGGGAAACCGGAGCUAAUACCGGAUAAUAUUUUGAACCGCAUGGUUCAAAAGUGAAAGACGGUCUUGCUGUCACUUAUAGAUGGAUCCGCUCCGCAUUAGCUAGUUGGUAAGGUAACGGCUUACCAAGGCAACGAUGCGUAGCCGACCUGAGAGGGUGAUCGGCCACACUGGAACUGAGACACGGUCCAGACUCCUACGGGAGGCAGCAGUAGGGAAUCUUCCGCAAUGGGCGAAAGCCUGACGGAGCAACGCCGCGUGAGUGAUGAAGGUCUUCGGAUCGUAAAACUCUGUUAUUAGGGAAGAACAAAUGUGUAAGUAACUAUGCACGUCUUGACGGUACCUAAUCAGAAAGCCACGGCUAACUACGUG